GAUUCAUAGUUUGCCAUCUAAGAAAUUCUAAUGUAACAGUUCAUAAUUGGUUACUACUUAGUUUUCACUGAUGACUAAGGUUUCUGAGAGUUAAAAUUCUGCUAAAUGUAGUAAAGACUAAUAAAAAUUUUAAAAACUCUACAUGUAAAAGAGUAGAUAUAUAAAAAUAUGUAUAUAAGCAAUGGAAAUACCUUUUUUCUUAAAGAAAAAAAAGACUUAGGUCAAAAUCUAAAAGCAAAAGAAAGUUGUAUUAAGUUUGUAAAAAAAAAAUCUUAAAAAAAAUUAUAUCUGGUCAGGAGGUCUAAGGUUAAACCUUUAAAUUACGCUAAAUUAUCCACUAUCUUACAGACACAAAAUAAAAGCCCGGUGGCCUUCCUGGAAAGGUUAAGGGAGGCUCUCAUUAAAUAUACAGCUAUCUCCCCUAAUACCCCUGAGGCUGAGACGAUUCUAAAAGACAAAUUUGUCACUGGACUGGCCCCAAAUAUUCAGAAAAAAACUGCAAAAACUGGCUGUUAGUCCAGAAGGGACCCUUGAGGAGCUCUUAAGAGCUGCCAACUGGAUAUAUUACAACCAAGAUCAAGAGGAGAAUAAAAAAAUAAAAAAUAAUAAAAUCUGAGGUCUUAGUUGUGGCCUUAUGUACUAUGUCAGACCGGACUUCCCGAGGUCCUGGCACCAAGUGCCAUUUAUAUGGCCGUUCAGAGCACGAAAAUGAGAACGUCCUCAGAGGGGACAACAGAAAUGAAAACCCCAUAAGCCAGGCCCCUUGCGUGGAGACAACCACCGGAGAUCUGAAUCCACUCGGGGACCUGUAUCUGUGAGGCUCAGAUAACCAUGUCUCUGCAAGGGACUGACGGGGCCUGGGGCUCUUCACCGAGGCUCCCCUGAACCAACUGUCUAUCAGAAACCCAGAGCCUCCGGUAACUCUAAAUAUAGAACGAAAACUGGUUGAUUUCCUUCUUGACACCUGAGCUACCUUUUCUGUCCUCCUUUCCACUCCAGGCCAAGCAUCCAAACGCAGUAUGACGGUUAGAGGCAUCUCCAGAAAACCUCUAACUAAAGUUUUCUCUCAGCCCCUGGGAGACAUGUGGGGAAAACAUGUCCUAAGGGCUGUGGAGAAAGUUGGAGAAGAGAUUAAGAAUGACAGAGAAGGGUUGAAAUGGUUGCCUUAAUAGAGCCUGAAACAGAAUUUCUGACACAGUUGAGGACCUGUUUGAGGCUGGAGUGGAACCAGUCUACGUUCUUAGGUGACUUUCUCUGGCAGUGUUAAAACUGGCAAAGCGGACAUUUCUAGUUAUAUUGGCUCAUGAUUGGGAGACCAAGGGACACAAUGAAGAAACUGCGGUGAGCGGUCUUUCAGAUGUGGAUUGCAGAAUCUAGGCUUCGUGAAGCAGGAAUUGAGGAGACGAGUUGGUGGGAAGAAAUCGGAAAAGUUACAGAGCCUGGAAGGAUCGAUGACAUUGAAGAGUGAUACAGCAAGAGUAGCAGAGUAAUAAAAGGGGUGAUCACAAGAUUGGAACCAGAGAGUAGAUGUAGACAUUUGAGUCUUCAGACGUGGGCAGAGCUGGCUGACAGCCAGGUCUGGUGACAGCCAAGGGUGUGCAUGGCCAAGUCAAAACCAGAGAAAAAGCAUCAGAACCUUCCAUUUUGUCGAAAACCUACUUUUCCAAAUAUUUUAAUUAAGUCUUAACUUAUAAUUUAUAAUUAUGCUACAUAGUUACAGUAUAAGUAGCAUAUGUAAAUAUACACUAUAUAUAAUGUAUAAUUAUAGAUUGCUGGGCAUACCCAGCAUGUUUUUAAAAACAUAAAAGAAAAAAAGGAAAACUCCACGCAUGUAUAUAUAGAUAAAAAAUGACUAGAUGAACAUAAACCAAAAUGUUAACAGUGAGAUUAUGGCUGAUAAUUUUUCUUUUGCGUUCCAAAUGUUGUACAACAGCCAGUAGUAUUUCUAAAAUCUUAAAAGGCAAUGCAUUUUAUAUUUUGAAAGAAAAUGGUGUACCCCAAGUGAACUUCGCUCUUUCAGGAUAUCUGAGGCUUGAAAGGAAGUAAUAUUCUGAACUAUGGAACAUAUUGUCAUGUAUUAGUAUAGAGUACCUAAUGCAAAUAGUAAUUCCAACGAGUCACUUCUUUCCGGCUCGUUUUAAACUAUGAGAUAGCAAUCAGGCCUAAUUAUUUCAAUUUAUAAAUAUUUACUCUCAAGACAAGUUCCUUAUGUUCAUAAUGUUGACUUAAUAAAUGCAGACUGACACUGAUAUAUUACGAGACUUCCUUUCCUAAGGGUUACGUAUUAUGUUGAAGGAGCUUCAUGAAAGAGAAAACAAUAGAGCAGGCAAAGAAUGCCUUCUCUGACGACCCAGUUUUAACUGGCAACCUCUCCAAUAAGCACACACAUACAUUUCCUAUUCCCCUUUCAACUUUACUUCCCUCUAGGCCACUUAUUAACAUACUAUCUAUACCACCGGUAUAUGUGAAAUCUGGUGUACAGAUAUACACAUGUAUAUUCCUGUGUCUUUGGUAUAUGUUAAACCAGAAUUCCAGUUUACCUGGUUUGUGAUAGGACAUGAGCAUUAUUUUUUUUGUUUCUGUUUGUUUGCUUGUUUGUUUUUAAAUUUGAAUGAGAGAGAGAGAGAGAGAGAGAGAGAGAGCACGUGAGCCCGGGAGAGGGGCAGAGGGAGAAGAAGAAGAGAGAGAAAUUCCAAGCAGUCUCAGGGCAGAGCCCGACAAGACACGGGGCUUGAUCCCAUGAUCCUGAUAUAUGACCUGAGCCAAAAUCAAGAGUCAGAUGCUCAACUGAUGGAAGCCACCCAGCCUAUUUUUUUUUUUACUUUUUUAAAGCUUCCAGGGUGAUUUUUACGAGUAGCCAAUAUUCUGUAUAAUCAACUCAGUUAAAUCCAAAUGGAAUUUUGGGAGCCUUUCUCCUCUGUUCCAUGAAUAUCAAAACAUAGUCUUGACUGUUAACAUUCCUGUCACCUUUGAUGCCCCAGCCGUUCUGAAUACCUGGUCAUUCCGUUCCUGGCUCACCACCAACCGGUAGAAACAAUGCUGAUGCACCUGUCCUCAGCAUCUGCCUUUUUGGUCUCUCCUUUGGGAAAUUUAACUAAACAAAUCAACUGAAAACAGAAAAGGACGCCUAAGGUCCUUUGAAAAAUAAUUAAGUAAAGGGCAAAUCACAUCUCUUAGGUUCUUCAAAAAGGCAAAAGAGAAGAAACACCUUCGAUGGAAAAGUCACUCUGGCAGUAACUUUUCUAGGGCAGCUUAGAAAUGUUUAACGACGAGCACAGAGCCACAGCUGGCCAGAUUGCAGUAAUGAGGCAUUCCAGACGCACCGGAGCACCGGCUGGCCAAGCUCACAGAGGCCACUUCAAGAAGAUUCAUGGGGGAUCAUGAAGCAGAAGCUGGAAGGACACCCCUGGCAAAACCCACUCGGGUGGGGAUAAUGACACCUAACUUGUGAGGUGGUUGAAAAUGAACCAGAAUUAGGUCCCUGUGGUAGUCACGAAGAUGCACUACACAGUUCGUCCUUCAAGAGAUCCUGCUGCGAGGAACUCAGUUGGCCAACAUCUCUGGCUGCCACCUCUGUGGAUUCCCUGCACCCUUAGAAUAUCUAAAAUUUUUGUCUCCAAGAACCAAUUUUCACCCCAAUGGGGGCAACAUGGCCCUUGCUGAGGAGACACCCCGGACGGCAACCUGAAUUCUAGUUCUGCACUAACUGAUUACUCAACCAUUUACAAGUCACUCUCCCUCUUUGGGACUCCGUUUUCUUAUCUGUAAAAUGAAAAGGUUGAACAACGUGCUGUUGAAACCUCACUCGCAGCCCUGGAGUCCUAUGAGUUCUGCAUGGCACUGGUGGACACAGUGUAACUGACUUCUCCCGCCCUCCCUGCUCCCCUCCCCACCUACCUUUACAGAUAGGACACACUGUCGCUGUAUCUUAUCGUGAUUGUUAGCUUGCGUGUCAGGCUCCCUCCAAACAACAUGAACUGCUUGAAGACAAAGUCCACAUGCAUGUGAUACAGUAGCUGGCAGGAAGCAGGCACCUGGUCAAUGUUUGUAGAAUGGGCUGCACAGUGUACCUACGGGGUGAACUAGAUGCAACUGCCCAGGUUAGACCUUUUGACAGCAAAUCUAUAGGUUAACUCAGGCUAACUAUGGAAUUAAAGGACACCUGCUCUGUACUCUAGCUCUCAGGUCGGUGUCUGACAUGUUGGGCGGUCUAGAGAUGUUUAAGGAAGGUAAGUUGAAAGUAAGGAAGGUGAGUAAAGAAGGUAAGACAGGGAAAAGGUAGACAAAUCAUAUUGUUGCCAAUAUUUUAUUUCUUCAAAAAUUCCUGGUAACUUGUAAAAGGACUUCAAUCUAAAGUGGAACCUGAUUAUAUGAAAUGGAAAAUGUCGCACGCGCACCUCCUAGAAGAACAGAACUCAAGAACCUAGGGACUGAUUUCUCAGAAAUGUCUGAUGUACAGAAGACCAAGACUUAUCCCCUGACCAAUGGGCAACUGCCAAGAAUCUUUUCCCAUUCUCAAGCCAUGGAACUCACUGCUUGGACUCUGGCUGGACAUCCCCCUCUUUGCACAACUUGCCUAUAAAUACAGCCUGCUCCAAACCCUCAGCAGACUCACCUGUAGCCUGCAACGUCACACAUUUAUGGAAUUGCAGUUCCUCUGCUGUUCCCAAAUAAACUCAAUUUCUGGUCAUUUGA